AGGGUGCAAACGUUGCUCGGAAUUAUUGGGCGUAAAGCGCACGUAGGCGGCUUGGCAAGUCGGAUGUGAAAGCCCUGGGCUCAACCCAGGAAGUGCAUUCGAAACUGCAGAGCUGGAGUCCUGGAGAGGAAGGCGGAAUUCUCGGUGUAGAGGUGAAAUUCGUAGAUAUCGAGAGGAACACCGGUGGCGAAGGCGGCCUUCUGGACAGUGACUGACGCUGAGACGCGAAAGCGUGGGGAGCAAACAGG
rnacentral:rRNA from 1 species